AUUGAACGCUGGCGGCAGGCCUAACACAUGCAAGUCGAGCGAGCGGCGGACGGGUGAGUAAUGUAUGGGGACUGCCCGAUAGAGGGGGAUAACUACUGGAAACGGUGGCUAAUACCGCAUACUAUCGGAUAACCCAAUUGGGAUUAGCUAGUAGGUGGGGUAAAGGGUCACCUAGGCGACGAUCUCUGGCUGGUCUGAGAGGAUGAGACGCCACACUGGAACUGGGACACGGCCCUGAAUCAUACGGAGGCAGCAGGGGGGAAAAUUGCACAAUGGGCGAAAGCCUGAGGCAGCCAUGCCGCGUGUAUGAAGAAGGCCUUAGGGUUGUAAAGUACUUUCAGCGGGGAGGCGUUACCCGAAGAAGAAGCACCGGCUAACUCCGUGCCAGCAGCCGCGGUAAUAC
rnacentral:rRNA from 1 species